AAGCUUGCUUCUUUGAUACUUAGCGGCGGACGGGUGAGUAACACGUAGGCAACCUGCCCUCAAGUUUGGGACAACUACCGGAAACGGUAGCUAAUACCGAAUAAUUGUUUUCUUCGCCUGAAGGAAACUGGAAAGACGGAGCAAUCUGUCACUUGGGGAUGGGCCUGCGGCGCAUUAGCUAGUUGGUGAGGUAACGGCUCACCAAGGCGACGAUGCGUAGCCGACCUGAGAGGGUGAUCGGCCACACUGGGACUGAGACACGGCCCAGACUCCUACGGGAGGCAGCAGUAGGGAAUCUUCCGCAAUGGGCGAAAGCCUGACGGAGCAAUGCCGCGUGAGUGAUGAAGGUUUUCGGAUCGUAAAGCUCUGUUGCCAGGGAAGAACGCUUGGGAGAGUAACUGCUCUCAAGGUGACGGUACCUGAGAAGAAAGCCCCGGCUAACUACGUGCCAGCAGCCGCGGUAAUACGUAGGGGGCAAGCGUUGUCCGGAAUUAUUGGGCGUAAAGCGCGCGCAGGCGGUCAUUUAAGUCUGGUGUUUAAUCCCGGGGCUCAACCCCGGAUCGCACUGGUAACUGGGUGACUUGAGUGCAGAAGAGGAGAGUGGAAUUCCACGUGUAGCGGUGAAAUGCGUAGAUAUGUGGAGGA
rnacentral:rRNA from 1 species